rnacentral:ncRNA from 2 species
UCCGAUCUCCGACUAGGCCCGCGUU